rnacentral:rRNA from 1 species
GUCCACGCCGUAAACGUUGGGCACUAGGUGUGGGUCUCAACCAACGAGAUCCGCGCCGUCGCUAACGCAUUAAGUGCCCAGCCUGGGGAGUACGGUCGCAAGACUAAAACUCAAAGGAAUUGACGGGGGCCCCGCACAAGCAGCGGAGCGUGUUGCUUAAUUCGAUGUUACGCGAAGAACCUUACCUGGGUUUGACAUGUAGGGAAAAGCUCUGGAGACAGGGUGUCCUAACGGGCCCUACACAGGUGGUGCAUGGCUGUCGU